CUGACAGGUGCCCAUCUGCUCCCCUGGAAGCUCAUCUUUCAUGCCUCAUCUCCUCCAGCAUGUGAGAUGGGGCGAAGCAGCGUGCCUGUCUGCAGCCGAAGGGGAUGCUGCAUGCAGGACUGCAUCGCUCCGCAGAUGGCUGCCAUGCAAUAUAAUCUGCUCAGCCUUCUGGUGUCGGAAACAUUGCUGGCUGUGCAUGCAGGGCAAGGGGAGAAGAGAAAUGCUGCUGCUGCAAAGAUAAGCAUGUGUUUGUUGUGUUCCUGAAUGCUGAGGAAAGGGAGACCUGCGUGCUGGCAGCAGGGAAGAGGUUAAAUUUUGAUAGCAUCUUUGUUAAGCCAGGAAAACUUUGACCUCUGCCUCUUCUUUACUUCUAACUGAAUUGAGGAGAUUAUGACAAAGCCUGUGUGGGCGUGUUCCCAGUGCUUGGUUUCCAAAAGAUGGAAAUACCAUCUUCCUCCCCUCCGGAGAUUUCGGCAGCGGGAGCUGGAGCUGGAGCACUGCUGCCGAGACCCCCCAGCACCCACACCCUCACCCUCUGCUCGUGGCCAGGAGCGGAGCAGCCAGGGCAGGAGGCAUGUCCUGCUGCAUCCUGCUGUCCCGAGGAGGGUGAUUUAUGGUGUUUUGGGGGUCAUGGGGGAGCCAAAGGGUGCACACGCACCUUCCCUCCCUCUUUGUGAACAUAUAAAUAUAUUCUAGUGCCUGCUACUGCUGGCUUCUGAAUGCGUGGAUAGAUGUUUGGCUUUGGUUCAUCCCACCCUAGAUUUGCCUGAGAUGCCUGAGUGUGGAGCACAGACAUCCUCGGGCUCCCUCUGUUGUCGAUGGAGCGAAGCACCUGCAGAAGGUGACCCAGCCCAGGCAUGAUCUGAAAUACACUGCUUUGCCGUGGGUGGCACACAUCCCUGGCUGUCUCCAUGCAGACGGACGGGGGAUCAGGCUGGGGACAGGCUGCCUCAUGAGGACACGCCAGAAACCUCCACCCCUUGCUAGUGCCGAGCAGAGAUGUCCCCGGUUCUCGAUGGACAACGAGCUGCGAUGAAAGGACACUUCCCCUUAGGCUGCGGUUUCACAGCUAUAUUAACACUCCUAAAGACUGUCUUUCCAGCUGCGGCUCCUGACCUUUCUGUCUUGCUAGUGGAUUGCAGAGAUCAGCCAGUCGGCUGCUAACUGUGAAAUCACAACAAGAGGCGCAAAUCAGCCAGCCCUCGGCGUAUUCAAACUGGCACUGGUUUGUUUGGAUUGGGGCUAAAGCCAGAGCAAGAAAGCUGGAGCUUUGAGAUGCAAUUGGGAUCACCUGGGAAAAUACAAGUGCCUUUCAUCUCUCCUGUCCCCGUGGCCAGGCAGGCUUGCUGCCCCAGCUGGGCUCCCACCCCUCUCCUUUUUAUCAGCACAGGUCCCCAGCUGUGCCCGGGGACAGGCACUUAGUGGGGACCAUAUGACAGGGGGUUAAAGUCCCAAGAAGCAGAUGGUUGUCUUUCAAGGUGUGCAGGGGGCCAGGGUGGGCCUCGGACAAGUUAUCAAAUACCUCUCAGGAUUUUCAAAUCAAUGCUGGAAGCUGUUUUUCUUGAUCACGGCGGUGAGCUGCUGGUAAAUCCCUAACCCCUGGCAAUUCUCUUCAAGAAGGACAUGAAUGCGGUAAUGCAAGACUUUAUUUUAUUUACCUUAUUUUGUUCUGCAGCAAUAACAUGUCCACAAACACAAAGGGCAGAGCUGCUUGGGCAA